rnacentral:rRNA from 1 species
AUGCCACGGAAGAUGAUGGUGUAUUUGAGAAGAUUGAUGAUUUUUUUACGGAAGGUGAAUGAGUUGGAUGCUGAAGUUCCUACGACGUCUGAUCGUCUGAGUUACAUUGCUGGCAUUUUUCCUGAAGGCCAUGGACCAAGAGAAGAAUCAAUGAAGGAGGCUACAGAGCGUGAUGUUGCUAUCAUUGGUAGUCUUUGGAGUGCGACAUCACACAUUCGCACUGCUUUUAACCAUUUGAAGAAGAAACAUGAUGCCAUAUGCAAAGGCUUUGAAAAUGAUGCUCGUAUUAUUGUGAGUCAGAUUAGCAAGCAGAAGAAUGACGCGUCUGGCCCCGUGCGUGAUGAUGAUUAUACUGGUCAACAGGGUGAGGAGAUUAGCAAGCAGAAGAAUGACGCGUCUGCCCCCGUGCGUGAUGAUGAUUAUACUGAUCAACGGGUUGAGGAGGUUGUUGUUGAUGCGUCAGAUGACGGUGAAGAUGAUAAGCAAGAGCCCCCUGCUGAACCCCCUCCGCAUGAUUUUACUGAUGACUACGUCAUUGAUGAUGAUUUUUUUGGUGGUGAUCCUGCUGAUGGUUGCAAUGGUGUUGAUGACAAUGUUGAUUAUACAGAGGGAGUUUUUGCACGAGACCAGCCUGUAGCCGAAGGUGAUUGCGACAAAUCUAAUGAGCCAGAGCUUGGGCAGCAAUUCCAUGCUGGUAGUGCUGGCAUUUCAAAAGGGAAGCAAGUUGGGUUUGAUUGUCAAAGUGGCGUGUCAGUUUGCUUGAUGCUAGACAGGCGUCUGAAGGUGCUUGUGCGGGUGUAUUUGUCAUGGAUGGCCUCGGUGAUGAUGUCAAUCAUGCAGCAAAUUUUGAAGGAAAACAAGUGCCGAAUGAUACAAAACAAGUGCUGA